UCAGACGAUGCGUCAUGUAUAUCAAUAAGCGGAGGAAAAGAAACUAACUAAGGAUUCCCUUAGUAAGGACGAGUGAAGCGGGAAGAGCUCAAAUUUGAAAUCUUCAAGGUUUUACCUUGACGAAUUGUAGUUUAAAGAAGUGUUUUCUGUUGAAGUUUUGGUAAAAGUUCUUUGGAAUAGGACAUCAUAGAGGGUGAGAAUCCCGUAUUUGACCAUUAUUUUCAGCUGUGUGAUACACUUUCAAAGAGUCGGAUUGUUUGGGAAUGCAGUCCAAAAUGGGUGGUAAAUUUCAUCUAAAGCUAAAUAUUGGCGAGAGACCGAUAGCGAACAAGUACCGUGAGGGAAAGAUGAAAAGAACUUUGAAAAGAGAGUUAAACAGUACGUGAAAUUGUCAAAAGGGAAGCGUUUGACACCAGUGUUGUUUUCUCGAAAAUCAAUUAAAAAAAGUUGGAUUUUGUGUUGUAUUGACCUUAACAGCUUGCUUCACUCUUUUCCUGCUUUUUUUAAUGCACUUUUCGUUUAACAAGUCAACAUCAGUUUCUUUUGUUGUAAAAGGGUCAUUGGAAGGUGGCUUUCUCUUCGGAGAAAGUGUAUAUAGCCUUUGAUCUCUGCAAUCGGAGAGACUGAGGUCUGCAGCGUAGAUCCUUCGGGGUUAGAUACAUUUGUGCUAAGCUACAGCUUUUCAUAGACAACUUGUUGACUAUGUUUAGUCUUGUAACUUACCCGCUUAUGCUAUUUUACCUACGCUUAGGAUGUUGAUAUGCAUGACUGAUAU
rnacentral:rRNA from 1 species